CGUAGGCCUUCAGACCCCACGGCUCAGCAAAAUGGCCCCAGCACUCGUACUCUCCAGGAGCCACUUCUGAGCGAGAGAAGAUGAACAUCUGACAGACCGAACAAAAGGAGGUGGUAUUGUUUGGAUGCUUGUUCACUCCUCCCUACCUGCGGUAUGCUGAGGACUAGGGCCAAGCCCCAGGCCACCAUGACAGGGGUGUUCCAGCGGGACAUUGCUCCCCCACGUGGUCUCCAGUUAACUGACCUGAAAGAGGGCCACCACCAAGUCAGCCACACACAGGUUGACCAUGAACACAUGCAUCGGAGCAUUGUGCUUCCUCCUCCUCAGCAGCACCCACAGCACAAAGCUAUUCCCCAG